GGGGGCAACCCUGGUGGCGAGUGGCGAACGGGUGAGUAAUACAUCGGAACGUGCCCAGUCGUGGGGGAUAACGUAGCGAAAGCUACGCUAAUACCGCAUACGAACUUUGGUUGAAAGCGGGGGAUCGCAAGACCUCGCGCGAUUGGAGCGGCCGAUGGCAGAUUAGGUAGUUGGUGGGGUAAAGGCUCACCAAGCCGACGAUCUGUAGCUGGUCUGAGAGGACGACCAGCCACACUGGGACUGAGACACGGCCCAGACUCCUACGGGAGGCAGCAGUGGGGAAUUUUGGACAAUGGACGCAAGUCUGAUCCAGCCAUUCCGCGUGCAGGAUGAAGGCCCUCGGGUUGUAAACUGCUUUUGUACGGAACGAAAAGGCUCUGGUUAAUACCUGGGGCUCAUGACGGUACCGUAAGAAUAAGCACCGGCUAACUACGUGCCAGCAGCCGCGGUAAUACGUAGGGUGCAAGCGUUAAUCGGAAUUACUGGGCGUAAAGCGUGCGCAGGCGGUUAUGUAAGACAGGUGUGAAAUCCCCGGGCUUAACCUGGGAACUGCAUUUGUGACUGCAUAGCUAGAGUACGGUAGAGGGGGAUGGAAUUCCGCGUGUAGCAGUGAAAUGCGUAGAUAUGCGGAGGAACACCGAUGGCGAAGGCAAUCCCCUGGACCUGUACUGACGCUCAUGCACG
rnacentral:rRNA from 1 species